ACGACCCCCCAGAGCCGAAAACUUGGUCAAACUCGGUCAUUUAGAGGAAGUAAAAGUCGUAACAAGGUUUCCGUAGGUGAACCUGCGGAAGGAUCAUUACCGAGUGAGGGCCCUCUGGGUCCAACCUCCCACCCGUGUUUAUUUUACCUUGUUGCUUCGGCGGGCCCGCCUUAACUGGCCGCCGGGGGGCUUACGCCCCCGGGCCCGCGCCCGCCGAAGACACCCUCGAACUCUGUCUGAAGAUUGAAGUCUGAGUGAAAAUAUAAAUUAUUUAAAACUUUCAACAACGGAUCUCUUGGUUCCGGCAUCGAUGAAGAACGCAGCGAAAUGCGAUACGUAAUGUGAAUUGCAAAUUCAGUGAAUCAUCGAGUCUUUGAACGCACAUUGCGCCCCCUGGUAUUCCGGGGGGCAUGCCUGUCCGAGCGUCAUUGCUGCCCUCAAGCCCGGCUUGUGUGUUGGGCCCCGUCCCCCGAUCUCCGGGGGACGGGCCCGAAAGGCAGCGGCGGCACCGCGUCCGGUCCUCGAGCGUAUGGGGCUUUGUCACCCGCUCUGUAGGCCCGGCCGGCGCUUGCCGAUCAACCCAAAUUUUUAUCCAGGUUGACCUCGGAUCAGGUAGGGAUACCCGCUGAACUUAAGCAUAUCAAUAAGCGGAGGAAAAGAAACCAACAGGGAUUGCCCCAGUAACGGCGAGUGAAGCGGCAAGAGCUCAAAUUUGAAAGCUGGCUCCUUCGGGGUCCGCAUUGUAAUUUGCAGAGGAUGCUUCGGGAGCGGUCCCCA
rnacentral:rRNA from 1 species